GUUACUUGACUGGUACCUCCAGCCCACCAGCAGGCAAUGAUGGCAUCAGACUAGAGGAUCACCAGUAAAUCAUUGUAAACAAAGGAGCCAACAGAGUGAGAUGAAGGGGACAACUUCAGAUACUCAGGCAGAAGUGAACUUGGCUCCAUGCAUUGAUGGAGAAGAAAGACACCCGAGGGCUCCAUUCUGCAGGAUGAGUCUGCAGGGAUCUCCUUGCCAGCUAUGGAAGUCAGUAUGACAGCUUCAGCUACCUACAGUCCACUUGCCAGCAUAAGUCCCCACCUGCUGACCUGCUGCCUGCUAUCUUAACACGAAUUCUUCAUCUGAAUGGAUGAGCUUUUCACAGAGUUCCAAACUAAGGAAUCCAGGAGUGGCCAAUCCAGAGAUUCAUUCCUUAUCUUUGACGAACAUCUGAACUCCUGGCUCAUCCUGUGGAAUUCAGGCCAUACAGGAGAUCAAGGUCAUUUGCUUUGGGUUAAAUGAAUGUUGCCAGGUGGAGGUUGCUAGAGGGAGAGUGCUAUGUGAAAGUGCUGUAUAAACUGCUUGCUUUUCACAAACAGUAGUGAUUCUUUAUCCUGUCCAGCCUGCCACAACUGGACCAUCCUGUAUGUAAGUCCCCUUAAUAAAUCCUGUGUCUCAUUCA
rnacentral:lncRNA from 1 species